GUGAAUCAUCGAAUUUUUGAACGCAAAUUGCGCUUCCUGGCAUCCCGGGAAGCAUGCCUGUUUGAGGGUCAGUAUUAACAAAACCUAGGUUUGGUUGCAAAUUGUGACGUUUCCGGAGUUUGGUCUAUCUUAACUUUUUUGGUUAAGGGGCUUAAAUUUGACCUUUUUUGCGCAUUUUUAGAUGUACGUAAUUUUUUUGUAUUCGUCUAUUCUUAUCGCCAUAAUCUA
rnacentral:misc_RNA from 1 species